ACCAGUCUGGCUCAGUUGGUUAGAGCAUGGUGCUGAUAAUGCCAAGGCUGUGAGUUAAAUUGUGGUCUUUAUGUUCUCUUGGGUA